UUCUAUCCACUGUACCUCUUUAGUAUUUGGGAAAUAAUGCCUCUGAGUGAAGGAGGAAACAGAGGUCCUGAUUAUUGGGUGAAUUUGAAGCUGUCCCUCAGAUCGGAUCUGGAUGGCACAACCAAGUCUGAUGUCAACCCUGAAAAUUUUGCUGCUGGAGCAGCCAUCUUAUUACCAUGCAGGAGAAGCCAAGAAAAUUGCAGAGACUUUGCCCCGGUGCACUUAGCUACCAAAUAAUGCCAGGAAACGUCUACUUCUAGACUACUUUCAUGAGCAAAACUUAAAUUAAGAGAUGUUUUGGAGACUUCCUGAGGAUGAUGAGAGGCAUUCAGCAUGGAGCCACACAUGUGAUGGAAAAAUUGACGUGCAAAGAAGUGAAUGAAGUAUUUUGCUCAAGGUCACAUGGCGAGUCAUUGGUGGAGCUGGGAUUCAAACCAGAGUCCUUGGGAUUAAUCACCAGGCUACACAGGUGUUAAUGCAGAAAUAAGGAUUGCGUGGUGGUCAACGGAGUCUGGGAGUCUGUGGAAUAAAAUAUUCCUGUGGAUGGUCUUUCUAAGGGUCUCGGUUGUCUCUUUCCUUUUCCAGGAUUCUUGGACUAAAACACGAAAACAAACAAGCAAACAAAAGAUGAAAAGUGACUGCGGGAGCUCCUGAGAGUAAUCAAAGGAGAACAUUUUAAGAAUUGAUCUCAUUCGACCAUUUGCCAUAUUGUAUCUGUUCCUCAUUUGCAAAUAACAGAACCACAGUGGGAGUGGAUUCUUAAAAGUUCUACACGGUCUUCAGACUAACCAAACUGUAGAGGAUCAAGGAUGAUGGAUAACCAGUUACAUGAAACUUUCAUCUGGAG